rnacentral:rRNA from 1 species
CGCGUCCCAUUAGCUAGUUGGUGAGGUAAAGGCUCACCAAGGCGACGAUGGGUAGCCGGCCUGAGAGGGUGAACGGCCACACUGGGACUGAGACACGGCCCAGACUCCUACGGGAGGCAGCAGUAGGGAAUAUUGCGCAAUGGACGGAAGUCUGACGCAGCGACGCCGCGUGAGCGAUGAAGGUCUUCGGAUCGUAAAGCUCUGUCCUUGGGGAAGAAGGCGAAAGCUUGACGGUACCCAAGAAGAAAGCCCCGGCUAACUACGUGCCAGCAGCCGCGGUAAUACGUAGGGGGCGAGCGUUGUCCGGAAUUACUGGGCGUAAAGGGUGCGUAGGCGGCCCUUUAAGUCGGAUGUGAAAGCCCGCGGCUUAACCGCGGAAUGGCAUUCGAAACUGGAGGGCUUGAGUGUCGGAGAGGGUAGUGGAAUUCCCAGUGUAGCGGUGAAUGCGUAGAUAUUGGAGGAACACAGUGUCGAGCGACUACUGGACGAUAACUGACSCCUGGAGGCACSGAAAG